AUUGAACGCUGGCGGCAUGCCUUACACAUGCAAGUCGAACGGCAGCACGGGAGCAAUCCUGGUGGCGAGUGGCGAACGGGUGAGUAAUAUAUCGGAACGUGCCCAGUCGUGGGGGAUAACGUAGCGAAAGCUACGCUAAUACCGCAUACGAUCUAUGGAUGAAAGCGGGGGGAUCGCAAGACCUCGCGCGAUUGGAGCGGCCGAUAUCAGAUUAGGUAGUUGGUGAGGUAAAGGCUCGCCAAGCCGACGAUCUGUAGCUGGUCUGAGAGGACGACCAGCCACACUGGACUGAGACACGGCCCAGACUCCUACGGAGGCAGCAGUGGGGAAUUUUGGACAAUGGGCGCAAGCCUGAUCCAGCAAUGCCGCGUGCAGGAUGAAGGCCU
rnacentral:rRNA from 1 species